AUUCCCCCACUUUGUGCUGUCCCCGAACGCCGCAUCGGUUAGCAUUUAGCCACGUGGCUAACGCAACGGCGCAGGAGUGAGUGAGUGAGUGAGUGAGUCUUUUGAAAGCAAUCUCAGUGUAUGCUCGAGCAAAGACAGCUUUCCAGUCCAACAUUUUCCGAACAAAUGGACACCGACGGCUGUGUCCUAGGCGCAUGCCGCGCUGUCCUAGACCUGCUGGAGCGGGACUGGCAGCCUCUAUCCACCGCCGAGCUCGACCAGCGGCUGGACCAGGCCGUGGAGGACAUGCUGGAGGCGGACCUGAUCCACAAAGUCAAGCAAACAAGUGAACCUCCGCCAAGGAAUGACUCCGCCACCGCAUCCUCCAGUACCGGGGAGGAAGAGGAGGGGCGGGGGGACGACGAGGCAGUCGAGACUGUGACAGCCCUCCUGCGGAACGCCCAAUCCCGAAGCCGUGUAGCGGGCCGUGCCCGACUGUCGCUGUCCCAGACCGUCCCGCUGUGUCUCAGCCUGCUGUCCAGCCAUGUCAGCUACCGCACUUUGUCCAGCCUGUACCGUUUGGAGAAAGGCAACAUCCACCGCAUCUUUUUCUUCUUCUGCCAUUGUAUCAACACGCUGCAGCAUGACCAUAUUCGUUGGCCCCUAGGUGACGAGGUCGAGGCUGUUCUCUUCCCUUUCUCCGAAGAGCGGGCAGCAGAAGGCCGGCGCCUCCCUCGGGUGCUGGGAGUGUUGGGGCACGCUCGUAUUCCCAUCCGGAUGCCGUGGCCAAAAGACAGCGGUGAGCCGGAAGCCGAGAGGCCCAAGAAGACGGAAGAGCGGCCCUCCUCUUGGCUCCAUCUUGAAUUGGUGUGCGACCGCACAGGACGCUUCAUCCACUGCCGCAUCGGGAACAGCCGGGACUCGGACGGAGGCGGCGCGCUCGCCUCUCGACUCGAGCGGGAAUCUCACCCGAUGCCUCCGGAUUCGGUGCUGGUGGCCCGCGCCGGAUAUCCACUCUCGGCUCGCGUUUUGACGCCCUACCCGGGACGAGGCGGGAUGAGGCAGCGGCGCUUCAACGCCGCGCUGGAGCCACACUUUCAUAUUCUGGACAGGGCCGUGGCGGGCCUGACGGGACGAUUCCGAAGACUCCGGCGGCUGGACGUGGGAAAUUACAAGCGAGCCAGAGCGGUGGCGUUGAGCGCCUGCGUCCUCCACAACGUGCUGAUGGACGUCGGUCACGUGCCGCAAGGAGAACUCCAAGAGUUCACCCCAGCUAGCAAAAAGGUGACAGGAUGUUGUUGCUGUGAUGUGGGUGGACGCACUUGUUAGUGCAGCUUGCGAGCUCCCUCCGCUAAACAUGUCUGCCGCGUGCUUGGCUCUCCUCUCCGCCCUGUGCUUGUUCUGCACAACUCAAACCGUGGAGGGCAACGGCUUGAUAUGGAGGCCCGUUGGCGGAUCUGCGUCCAUCCAAUGCAAGCUUUCUGAACCGCUCCCGAUAACACUCGUGACUUUGUCUAAAGGCCUCGAGAAGAAUUUUCCCGUUGUCAGUAAGACGUCCCAAAGAACCACCAUUGCUCAGAAUUUCCGCGGUAGGCUCCGGGCAGAGGGAGACUUGUUAAAUGUGGACGUGCUCAUCUGGAACCUGACCUCGGAAGACACCGGCUUGUACUGGUGUGGCCACGAGUGGUUUGAUAACGGAUUGUCGGAACAUAAGAAAGUCUUUGACCACGUCCCGGCCGUGCUGGUCAUUAGAGAUGAGCAGCAGUGUGACAAUGGAAACCAAAAUCUACUUGUGGGGCUGGUUGUGCUUUCGGCUGCUGUGCUAUUUGGAGUCUUCAUCGCCUUCCUCCUAUGGAGCAUACCCAAGAUCAAAAAGUGGCACGCCAAAUAUAGGCCACGGCACACCACCAAUGAUGUCUACGAGGACAUGCGCGGAACGCUGCGAGCUGAAAGACGCCCUGUUUAAAAAACAAAACAAAGAAGUCAAUGGCAAAACUUGCUUGUGCAUUUCAUUAGGUACGGGGAAAAAAAAAAGACUCCAUUUAUGACUGAUACUGUACUAUACCUCACUCAGGAACAUUCCAAAUGUUGAACAAUGACUCAGUGAACUUCAUGCAAGACCUGUCAGAUGCCUCCCUCGCUCUUGUGAUUUAUCACCCUGUAAUCUUUGUGGGCAUCUUUCUGCAUUCAAACCUUAAAAAAGAAAAGAAAAAAAAAAAGAAGGAAAUCAAAUGUUGAAUUUUUUUGUUAGGGUUACUCUAUUGAUUAACUCCAAUCACAAACAUUUGUAAUUUUUUCUGAAAUAAAACAAUAUUCUGUA